rnacentral:rRNA from 1 species
UACAGAGGUCUCGAGCGUUAGGCGGAAUCACUGGGCUUAAAGCGUGUGUAGGCGGGUCGUUAAGUGCCUUGUGAAAUCCCAUGGCUCAACCAUGGAACUGCUGGGCAUACUGGCGAUCUUGUGCAACCUAGGGGCGAGCGGAACAGAUGGUGGAGCGGUGAAAUGCGUAGAUAUCAUCUGGAACGCCAAUGGUGAAAACAGCUCGCUGGGGGUUUGCAGACGCUGAGACACGAAAGCCAGGGGAGCGAACGGGAUUAGAUACCCCGGUAGUCCUGGCCCUAAACGAUGUCGACUAGAUCGUAGUGCCUCUGACGGUAUUACGGUCGAAGCAAAAGUGCUAAGUCGACCGCCUGGGAAGUACGGUCGCAAGGCUAAA